rnacentral:rRNA from 1 species
ACGCUCGACACCUACGGGAGUCAGCAGUGGGGAAUAUUGCACAAUGGGGGAAACCCUGAUGCAGCGACGCCGCGUGAGCGAAGAAGUAUUUCGGUAUGUAAAGCUCUAUCAGCAGGGAAGAAACUGACGGUACCUGACUAAGAAGCACCGGCUAAAUACGUGCCAGUAGCCGCGGUAAUCUGAGCGGGCUGGCAAGGC